UCUCCAAUAGUUCAGUGGUCAGAACGUCGUACUUAUACAGGAGUCCCCCGUAUGCAAUGCGAAUGUCCCGGGUUCAAACCCCGGUUGGAGAA